rnacentral:rRNA from 1 species
UGGGGAAUAUUGCACAAUGGGCGCAAGCCUGAUGCAGCCAUGCCGCGUGUAUGAAGAAGGCCUUCGGGUUGUAAAGUACUUUCAGCGAGGAGGAAGGCGUUGUGGUUAAUAACCGCAGCGAUUGACGUUACUCGCAGAAGAAGCACCGGCUAACUCCGUGCCAGCAGCCGCGGUAAUACGGAGGGUGCAAGCGUUAAUCGGAAUUACUGGGUGUAAAGCGCACGCAGGCGGUCUGUCAAGUCGGAUGUGAAAUCCCCGGGCUCAACCUGGGAACUGCAUCCGAAACUGGCAGUCUAGAGUCUUGUAGAGGGGGGUAGAAUUCCAGGUGUAGCGGUGAAAUGCGUAGAGAUCUGGAGGAAUACCGGUGGCGAAGGCGGCCCCCUGGACAAAGACUGACGCUCAGGUGCGAAAGCGUGGGGAGCAAACA